rnacentral:rRNA from 1 species
AUUGGACGCUGGCGGCAGGCCUAACACAUGCAAGUCGAACGGUAACAGGAAGAAGCUCGCUUCUUUGCUGACGAGUGGCGGACGGGUGAGUAAUGUCUGGGAAACUGCCUGAUGGAGGGGGAUAACUACUGGAAACGGUAGCUAAUACCGCAUAACGUCGCAAGACCAAAGAGGGGGACCUUCGGGCCUCUUGCCAUCGGAUGUGCCCAGAUGGGAUUAGCUAGUUGGCGAGGUAAAGGCUCACCAAGGCGACGAUCCGUAGCUGGUCUGAGAGGAUGAUCAGUCACACUGGAACUGAGACACGGUCCAG